rnacentral:rRNA from 1 species
GGGGGGGGGGGGGGGGGGGGGGGGGGGGGGGGGGGGGGGGGGGGGGGGGGCGGGGGGGGCGGGCGGGUGGCGAAGGGGUGAGUCAGGGCUCGGAAGGGGCGGGGUCGGGGGAGAUAGCUGGUCGAAGGGGUGUGUGAUUGCGCCUACGUUAUGUGAGUGAAGGCGGGUGACCGUAGGACGUCGGUACUGUGGUGAGCGUGAUGUCAGAUCAGGUAGUUGGUGGGGGAAGGGCGCACCAAGCCAAUGAUGGGUAGCUGGUCUGAAUGGAUAACCAGCCACACUGGGACUGAGACACGGCCAAGACUCCUACGGGAGGCAGCAGUGGGGAAUUUUGGACAAUGGGCGCAAGCCUGAUCCAGCAAUGCCGCGUGCAGGAAGAAGGCCUUCGGGUUGUAAACUGCUUUUGUACGGAACGAAACGGCUCUGGUUAAUACCCGGGGCUAAUGACGGUACCGUAAGAAUAAGCACCGGCUAACUACGUG